rnacentral:rRNA from 1 species
UACAGAGGCCCCAAGCGUUACUGAGAAUCACUGGGUUUAAAGGGUGCGUAGGUGGUCCGUUAAGUUCGUUGUGAAAUCCCUGGGCUCAACCCAGGAAAUGCUUCGAAUACUGGCGGAUUUGAGGCUAGUAGGGGUCACUGGAACUGACGGUGGAGCGGUGAAAUGCGUAGAUAUCGUCAGGAACGCCAAUGGUGAAGACAGGUGACUGGGCUAGUUCUGACACUGAGGCACGAAAGCGUGGGGAGCGAACGGG